rnacentral:tRNA from 1 species
GGAGAGAUGGUUGAGUGGACUAAAGCGACAGAUUCCUAAUCUGUUGUGCAUUUUUUGUAUCGAGGUUCCGAAUCCCUCUUGUUUUG